UACAGAGGUCCCAAGCGUUGUUCGGAUUCAUUGGGCGUAAAGGGUGCGUAGGCGGCGCGGUAAGUCGGGUGUGAAAUCUCGGAGCUUAACUCCGAAACUGCAUUCGAUACUGCCGUGCUUGAGGACUGGAGAGGAGACUGGAAUUUACGGUGUAGCGGUGAAAUGCGUAGAUAUCUGGAGGAACACCGGUGGCGAAGGCGGGUCUCUGGGCCGAUACUGACGCUGAGGAGCGAAAGUGUGGGGAGCGAACAGG
rnacentral:rRNA from 1 species